rnacentral:tRNA from 1 species
GCCAGCGUGGUUUAGUGGUUUGAGUGUUGGACUAGGACUCUGGAGACUAGGGUUCAAAUCCUGGCUCAGCCA